CAAAUAACGAUAGUGUGGGACCAGCCUAAGUAGUAGUGCCGCAGGUAACAUGACUUGGGAUUACCUGCUCCCUGCUGCUUAACUUGGUACCGCUUUACGCCAUUCC
rnacentral:pre_miRNA from 20 species